GAAAUCCUGGCUCAGGAUGAACGCUAGCUACAGGCUUAACACAUGCAAGUCGAGGGGCAGCAUGGUCUUAGCUUGCUAAGGCCGAUGGCGACCGGCGCACGGGUGAGUAACACGUAUCCAACCUGCCGUCUACUCUUGGACAGCCUUCUGAAAGGAAGAUUAAUACAAGAUGGCAUCAUGAGUCCGCAUGUUCACAUGAUUAAAGGUAUUCCGGUAGGCGAUGGGG
rnacentral:rRNA from 1 species